rnacentral:rRNA from 1 species
GAUGAACGCUAGCUACAGGCUUAACACAUGCAAGUCGAGGGGUAACGAGAGGGAAGCUUGCUUUCCUUGUCGACGACAGGCGCACGGGUGAGUAACGCGUAUCCAACCUGCCCCCAACUAGGGAAUAACCUUGCGAAAGUAAGACUAAUACUCUAUAAUUUCCUCAGAUGUCAUCUGACGAGGAAUAAAGAUUUAUCGGUUGUGGAUGGGGAUGCGUCUGAAUAGCUUGUUGGAGGGGUAACGGCCCACCAAGGCAACGAUCAGUAGGGGUUCUGAGAGGAAGGUCCCCCACAUUGGAACUGAGACACGGUCCAAACUCCUACGGGAGGCAGCAGUGAGGAAUAUUGGUCAAUGGGCGGAAGCCUGAACCAGCCAAGUAGCGUGCAGGAUGACGGCCCUAUGGGUUGUAAACUGCUUUUAUACAGGAAUAAAGUUAGCCACGUGUGGUUAUUUGUAGGUACUGUAUGAAUAAGGACCGGCUAAUUCCGUGCCAGCCGCCGCAGUAA